UACGAAGGGGGCUAGCGUUUGUUCGGAGUUUACUGGGACGUAAAGCGCACGUAGGCGGAUUGUUAAGUCAGGGGUGAAAUCCUGGAGCUCCAACUCCAGAACGUGCCUUUGAUUACUGGCAAUCUCGAGUCCGGAAGAGGUGAGUGGAACUCCGUAAGUGUAGAGGUGGAAUUCGUAAGAUAUUAGGAAGAACGACCAGUGGCGAAGGC
rnacentral:rRNA from 1 species